GCCGACGGAACCCUUCGGGGGGAAGUCGAUGGAAUGAGCGGCGGACGGGUGAGUAACACGUAAAGAACCUGCCCUCAGGUCUGGGAUAACCACGAGAAAUCGGGGCUAAUACCGGAUGGGUCAUCGGACCGCAUGGUCCGAGGAUGAAAGGCGCUUCGGCGUCGCCUGGGGAUGGCUUUGCGGUGCAUUAGCUAGUUGGUGGGGUAAUGGCCCACCAAGGCGACGAUGCAUAGCCGACCUGAGAGGGUGAUCGGCCACACUGGGACUGAGACACGGCCCAGACUCCUACGGGAGGCAGCAGUAGGGAAUCUUCCACAAUGGACGAAAGUCUGAUGGAGCAACGCCGCGUGAACGAUGAAGGCCUUCGGGUCGUAAAGUUCUGUUGUAAGGGAAGAACAAGUGCCGCAGGCAAUGGCGGCACCUUGACGGUACCUUGCGAGAAAGCCACGGCUAACUACGUGCCAG
rnacentral:rRNA from 1 species